CACAUUCUUAAAUCGAAUUUCUGUCUUAAAAUUACUCACUCAGGCUCCAUGUUAGGCAGUUAGGGUCCCCCGGUGACAAAUGGCAGGGCAAGCGUUUACGGAGCUUCCGUGCGAAGCAGGCGCCGUGCUCACAGGCCCCACACUUGCUCGCACCAUUCCGUCCUCACGAAGCACUGAGUGUCCCCGGCAUACAGCUGGGGAGGUAGAGCCCGGCCACCGAGGUCACUGGGCCGGGGUCACACAGCCCUGAGUUGAGGGCUGGGAUUUGAACCCUGCCGUCUGGUACUCGAAUCUACACCCCGUGUCUACUGCCCUGCCUCUUGGCCCUGAGGGUAAGAACAGAACAACGGCCUAGAUCACAGCCACCAGACUGGCGUUCCUUAAGCACUUAGUAUGCUCCAGGUACAGUCCUAAGCGCUUUAUUCCCUUAGUUUAAUCUUUAUGCUUAGCCCCAUUGAAUGGAUCAGGAAGCCGAGGCUGGAGGGGCAGGCAUGGGGAGGAGACCCGGGCUAGGGACCUGCUGCCGUGAGUGGCCUGGGGGCUGGAGCCCAGGAGGGUCUCCAUCCUCACCCCCUCCCCCAGGUGGAUGGUGAGAAGGGGAUCUCCCUUCGCUUCCCUCGGUUUAUCCGCGUCCGUGAAGACAAGAAGCCCGAGGAGGCCACCACCAGUGCCCAGGUGGCCUCCCUGUACAGGAAGCAGAGUCAGAUUCAGAACCAGCAGGGCGCGGACUUGGACUCCGACCCGGAAGAUUUCUACUAGGCUCCCGCCUGCCCAGGGGCUGAGGGCGGGGCGCGCGGACGUGGGGACGCGGGGGUGUCCUGUUGCUCGGUGGACCUGGUGUUGCGGCCGCGUGGGUUUGGAGUGUCACGGGUGUGCAUGUGUGUGUGUGUGUGAGGGGGUGGCUUAAGCGGAGCCUGGGGUUUAUUUGCUCAUUUCUUUCAAUAAAUACUGAACACCCA